rnacentral:rRNA from 1 species
GAGUGGCGCACGGGUGCGUAACGCGUAUGCAACACUACCUUUUUCAGGGGGAUACCCCGAAGAAAUUCCGGUUUAAGACCCGCAUAAAAACACAGGAUACCAUUAUCCAAUGUUCAAAUAUUUAUAGGAUUAAGAUGGGCAUGGGUGACAUUAGUUAGUUGGCGGGGUAACCGGCCACCAAGACCACGAUUUCUAGGGGAUUUGGGAGGAUGACCCCCCACAUUGGUAUUGAGACACGGACCAGAUUCCUACGGGAGGCAGCAGUAGGGAAUAUUGGUCAAUGGAGGCAAUUUUGAACCAAGCCAUGCCGCGUGCAGGAUGACGGCCUUCUGGGUUGUAAACUGCUUUUAUUCCGGGAAUAAACCUACUUAACGUGUAAGUUGCUGAAUGUACCGAAGGAAUUAGAGAUCGGCUAACUCCGUGCCAGCAGCCGCGGUAAUACGGAGGAUCCAAGCGUUAUCCGGGUUUUUUGUGGUUUUAAAGGGUGCGUAUGCGGCUUUUUAAGUCAGGGGUGAAAGACGGUAGCUCAACUAUCGCAGUGCCCUUGAUACUGAAGAGCUUGAAUGAACUAGAGGUAGGCGGAAUGUGACAAGUAGCGGUGAAAUGCAUAGAUAUGUCACAGAACACCGAUUGCGAAAGGCAGCUUACUAUGGUUUAAUUGACGCUGAGGCACGAAAGCGUGGGGAUCAAACAGGAUUAGAUACCCUGGUAGUCCACGCCCUUAAACGAUGAAUACUCGCUGUUAGCGAUACACAGUUAGCGGCUAAGCGAAAGCGUUAAGUAUUCCACUCUGGGGAGUACGUUUGCAAGAUUGAAAUUCACAGGAAUUGACGGGGGCCGCCCCAAGCGGAGGAGCAUGUUGUUUAUUCGGUGAUACGCGAGGACCUUAACCCGGGCUUGAAAGUUAGUGAAUCCUUAAGAGAUAGAUGAGUCCGCCAGGACACGGAACUAGGUGCUGCAUGGUGUCGUCAGCUCGUGCCGUGAGGUGUUGGGUUAAGUCCCGCAACGGAGCGCCACCCCUAUUUUUAGUUUCCAGCACGUUUUGGUGGGGACUCCUAAACAGACUGCCUGUUCCACCAGAGAGGAAGGAGGGGACGACGUCAAUUUAUCCUGGCCUUACGUUCGGGGGCUACACACUUUCUACAAUGGAUGGUUCAGAGGCAGCAAGCUGGGACAGCAAGCCACUCUCCAAAAGCCCUUCCCUAGUUCGGAUAGAGGUCCUGCAACUCGACCCUCUUGAAGUUGGAUUCGCUAGUAAUCGCAUAUCAGCAAUGAUGCGGUGAAUACGUUCCCGGGGCUCUUGUACACACCGCCCGUCAAGCCAUGGAAGUUGGGGGUACUCUAAAGUAUGUAACCGCAAGGAG